rnacentral:tRNA from 1 species
GUCCCCAUCGUCUAGUCUGGUCUAGGACAAGAGCUUUUCAAGCUCUCGACAGGGGUCCGAAUCCCCUUGGGGACA